GACGAACGCUGGCGGCGUGCUUAACACAUGCAAGUCGAACGGUAAGGCCCUUCGGGGUACACGAGUGGCGAACGGGUGAGUAACACGUGGGUGAUCUGCCCUGCACUUCGGGAUAAGCCUGGGAAACUGGGUCUAAUACCGGAUAGGACCCUGGGAUGCAUGUCCUGGGGUGGAAAGCUUUUGCGGUGUGGGAUGGGCCCGCGGCCUAUCAGCUUGUUGGUGGGGUGAUGGCCUACCAAGGCGACGACGGGUAGCCGGCCUGGGAGGGUGACCGGCCACACUGGGACUGAGAUACGGCCCAGACGCCUACGGGAGGCAGCAGUGGGGAAUAUUGCGCAAUGGGCGCAAGCCUGAUGCAGCGACGCCGCGUGAGGGAUGACGGCCUUCGGGUUGUAAACCUCUUUCAGCACCGACGAAGCGCAAGUGACGGUAGGUGCAGAAGAAGGACCGGCCAACUACGUGCCAGCCGCCGCCGUAA
rnacentral:rRNA from 1 species